CCUACGGGUGGCUGCAGUGAGGAAUAUUGGUCAAUGGGCGAGAGCCUGAACCAGCCAAGUCGCGUGAAGGAUGAAGGCUCUAGGGGUUGAAAACUCUUUUAGUCAGGGAGCAAUUGGGUCCACGCGUGGGCUUAGCGAGAGUACCCGAAGAAAAAGCAUCGGCUAACAUCGUGCCAGCAGCCGCGGUAUUAGGGGGGAUGCGGCGUUAAUCCGGUUUUAUCGGUGUAAACGGGUGCGUGGGCGGAGUAUGAGGUCGGCGGGAAAAAUUCGGGGCUAACCCUCGUCGUGCUGUGGAAACUGUUGUGCUAGAGUGGACGAGAGGUAAGCGGAAUGCGUGGUGUAGCGGUGAAAUGCGUAGAUAUCACGCGGAACUCCAGUUGCGAAGGCAGCAUACCGGCGCCCAACUGACGCUGAGGCUCGAAAGCGUGGGUAGCGAACAGGAUUAGAUACCCGGGUAGUC
rnacentral:rRNA from 1 species